CGGGAAAAGCCGCAGCUACCGCGGUAGGAGACCCCGGCCCCGGGCGGUGGCCCCAUGGCGCGCGCGCUCCGCGGUUCCCUAGGGCCCGUGACACGCGCCCUCCUAGCUGGCGGCAGGACCUAGGCCUUGACCAGCUAACGCACUUUCAUAAGCAUGGAGUGAUUGGAACGAGGAACUGGACGCCUGGGAAUCCCACGUGACAAGUCUGAAAGUCACCUCUCUCAGAAUAUCUAAAACACCAAACUGGUUUUCCAAGCCCUGCUGAAAUAUGCUAUCAACCAGUUUAUCCAAGAGGAAGUUGGAGGAUGAGUGGUCUAGUGCUUAUUCAGCGUUGGAAAUUUUUGUCUGUGAAACACCUAUAUUAGACACGUGGAAGUGUAUUGAACAUGAAAAUUCCUGGAUCCCACCCCCAGUCAUCCUGAAUCAGAAUCAGAGGAAAAUAUCUAGAAAUUCACAUUUUAAAUAAGUUCUCCAGGUAAUUCUUAUGUAUUUUACAAUUUAAAAACUUUAAAUCAGACAAAUUGUAUAUGAUGACUAGUAUAAGAUCUAGUUUUAAUUUUGACGGAUUAGCUGCUGUCAUUUUAUUCAACCUCUUUGUUCAACUUCCAAGCUAUAAAAGUUUGAUUUUUAUUUGUAAUUUAGGUGGUACUCUGAACACUUUUUAAGUAUCUUAAAAACAAAAAGUUUUCACAGGUGCUGAUUUUACAACAGCUAAUAAAUAUAUAUCCCCAGGAAAUAAAUAAAAAUAAAAACCUCUCUGGGACUUUUUCUUCAUUUACACAAUAAAAGAGGUUGGAUUAGAAUGUAUCUAUCAAGUCUCUUCUAGAUCUGACAUGUUAGAACUCUAUGAAAAU